UACGUUCCCGGGCCUUGUACACACCGCCCGUCACGCCAUGGGAGUUGGUGCUGCCCGAAGCAACCGCAAGGUUUCUACGGCAGUACUGAUGACUGGGGUG
rnacentral:rRNA from 1 species